rnacentral:rRNA from 1 species
GUGAGCAAGGAAAGCGAGGGGAUCGCAAGACCUUGCGCUGAUUGAGCGGCCGAUAUCAGAUUAGCUAGUUGGUGAGUAAAGGCUCACCAAGGCGACGAUCUGUAGCGGGUCUGAGAGGAUGAUCCGCCACACUGGAACUGAGACACGGUCCAGACUCCUACGGGAGGCAGCAGUGGGGAAUUUUGGACAAUGGGCGCAAGCCUGAUCCAGCCAUGCCGCGUGAGUGAAGAAGGCCUUCGGGUUGUAAAGCUCUUUCGGCCGGGAAGAAAUCGCACAGGUUAAUACCCUGUGUGGAUGACGGUACCGGAAUAAGAAGCACCGGCUAACUACGUG